rnacentral:tRNA from 1 species
GUUUAAGUAGUUUAAAUAUAGAACAGUAAUUUGUGGUAUUACAAGUAUAAGAUUUAUUUUAUCUUAGGCU